rnacentral:rRNA from 1 species
AUUGAACGCUGGCGGCAGGCCUAACACAUGCAAGUCGAACGAGUGGCGGACGGGUGAGUAAUGUCUGGGACACUGCCCGCUGGAGGGGGAUCACUUCUGGAAACGGGCGAUAAUCCCGCAUACCCUCGUAUGUGCCCAUAGGGGAUUAGCUAGUAGGUGGGGUAACGGCGCACCUAGGCGACGAUCCCUAGCUGGUCUGAGAGGAUGACCAGCCACACUGGAACUGAGACACGGUCCAGACUCCGACGGGAGGCAGCAGUGGGGAAUAUUGCACAAUGGGCGCAAGCCUGAUGCAGCCAUGCCGCGUGUAUGAAGAAGGCCUUCGGGUUGUAAAGUACUUUCAGCGAGGAGGCGUUACUCGCAGAAGAAGCACCGGCUAACUCCGUGCCAGCAGCCGCGGUAAUUC